AGCGAACGCUGGCGGCAGGCCUAACACAUGCAAGUCGAACGGAUCCUUCGGGAUUAGUGGCGGACGGGUGAGUAACACGUGGGAACGUGCCCUUUGGUUCGGAACAACUCAGGGAAACUUGAGCUAAUACCGGAUGUGCCCUUCGGGGGAAAGAUUUAUCGCCAUUGGAGCGGCCCGCGUCUGAUUAGCUAGUUGGUGAGGUAAAGGCUCACCAAGGCGACGAUCAGUAGCUGGUCUGAGAGGAUGAUCAGCCACAUUGGGACUGAGACACGGCCCAAACUCCUACGGGAGGCAGCAGUGGGGAAUCUUGCGCAAUGGGCGAAAGCCUGACGCAGCCAUGCCGCGUGAAUGAUGAAGGUCUUAGGAUUGUAUAAUUCUUUCACCGGGGACGAUAAUGACGGUACCCGGGGAAGAAGCCCCGGCUAACUUCGUGCCAGCAGCCGCCGUAAUAC
rnacentral:rRNA from 1 species